AUGAAGAUCCCACUCUCCUCAUUCCUGCUACUUAUCAGCCUCAUUGGUAUUCAGUGUCAAAGUCUUGAAUCUAUUCCCACUGGUUCAGUAAUAAAAAAACCUGGAGAAACUCUGAGUCUUUCCUGUAAAGGAUCUGGGUUUAACUUUGGUGGCUAUGGCAUGAACUGGAUCAGACAACAAACUGGAAAAGCUCUGGAAUGGAUUGGGGCUAUCUGGUAUGAUGCCAGUAAAACUAUAUAUGACAAACACGUUGAGGGACAUUUGGAAAUUACCAGAGACAACUCCAAAAACAUGGUGUAUCUGCAGCUGACUGGUUUGAGUACACAGGACUCUGCUGUGUAUUACUGUGCUAGACACCACAGUGGUACAAACAUCUUAAUCAGCCGUCCAAAAUCCUCCCACAGAUGUGGUGAAAGAGAAAAGUGCAUUCAAUAUACAGGGCAUUUUCACAAGAUCAGCAGGUGGCGCUAG